GUCUUUGCUUCAGAAACACAUAUAUUAAAAUUUGGCUGAUACAGAGAAGAUAAGCCUGCCCCUGUGCAAAGACGAUAAGCAAAUGUGUACAAUACUUUA
rnacentral:snRNA from 1 species